UCAUGAACACCGCGUCCCUGUGCGAUGGAACAUUAAUAGGCCUGACUUUUGGGAGUCCAAGAGGGCGUGUUGUCCACGACUACCCUCUGAGCAGAGCAACCACCAUCUUGCGUCCAGCUGCUCCCACUUGCGGAAGGAGCAUCCCAGCUGGGCUUGUUGACUGUGUCCAUCCCUUCAUGGAAGGGUGGGGAGGCUUACAAGACCUCACCUGAGUAGCCAGCAGCUUCCAACACCUGGUGUAUGCAAAUCUGCCUAAAUCCCACAAGGUCUAGGGGAGGGGCUAGAACAUUUAGGCCCUGGAGGCUGUGGAGAAGUUCCGUCUGCUCAGCUGCGGGGAGGCUCGCUCUCAUCCCGAUACAGCGCUGUCUGAGAAGAACACUAACACCCAGCAUGAGGUUUCCAGCUACCAGGAGUGUGUCCUUCUGCACGGCUAUGCCUUCUGAUAUCUGGAUGCCGUAUAGAGUUCCAGAAUAAAGCAAUUGAAGAUACAAAAGAACUGAGUAUGGUGGAACCUGCCAGUGAUAACCUUCUAGGCUGACGCAGGAGGAUUGCCACAAGUUCAAGGCCAGCCUGGGAUGCACAGCAAGACUAUCUCCGACAACCCCACCAAAGAAAAGGCAAAGGAAAUGUUUUGAUUCUUAUUUUUUAAUCUUCAAAAUUUUCUGCCAUGACAUCGGAAUGCAUGAUAGAAAUGGCUCAUCUUCACAUGAAACACUUGGGUUCAUUUUCAUUCACAAGUUUUUCUAAGAAAACAUUUACAAUUUCAUAAUCCCACAUCCUUCCGGUCAUUAUCACAGAUCUGACUGACACGAGACAGUAGUUGCCAGCACGAGGGGCUGGAACGCUUUCUGCGCAUGAGUAGUGUCUUUGGAAACUACCACCCAAGAGUAUCAUGAUUAUAAAUCUCAUUGUACAUGGCAACCCCAAAGGUGACAGAUGUCCCCAAAUAAAGUCCCUGUUUGUGGA